rnacentral:rRNA from 1 species
UAGCCUACGGGGGGCAGCAGUGAGGAAUAUUGGUCAAUGGGCGCGAGCCUGAACCAGCCAAGUCGCGUGAGGGAAGACGGUCCUAUGGAUUGUAAACCUCUUUUGUCGGGGAGCAAAAGACGCCACGCGUGGCGUUCCGAGAGUACCCGAAGAAAAAGCAUCGGCUAACUCCGUGCCAGCAGCCGCGGUAAUACGUAGGUGGCGAGCGUUAUCCGGAAUGAUUGGGCGUAAAGGGUGCGCAGGCGGUCCUGCAAGUCUGGAGUGAAACGCAUGAGCUCAACUCAUGCAUGGCUUUGGAAACUGGG